CGGAGCGUGGCGCAGCCUGGUAGCGCACCUGCAUGGGGUGCAGGGGGUCGGAGGUUCAAAUCCUCUCGCUCCGACCA
rnacentral:tRNA from 3 species